AAAAAAAAAUGUAGGCGUGAAGCACAUGCAGAGCAAGAUACAGAAUAUGAAAGCAGAAAAAAACGAUAAACAUCGCAUUAGCACAAAGAAAGAGAAAUUAUUACUUGGAGAAAUAACGAAAAGGUGAAUAGAGAUCGAAUAUAUGGACAUAGGUGAUAUGUCAGAAAUAUGUAAAUAUU